GCCAUAAAGUGACACGAUUUUUUGUAUCUAUAUCUAUUUUAAUUAACUAUUUCAAGGAUAUCAAGUUUUUCUUGGAAUUCUUACAGCCUUGGCAGUCCGUUGAAUUCUGGUAGGACACACAAAGGACCAUUUUCGAAGAUUCGUAAAAAUCGAGCUGGCAGAUUUUUCGAGGGGAGUGGAAACGGUCAAAGGAGAGAGAGAAGGAGAGAAAAAUCUUUCUUCGAGCAAAGAGGACUUCGCAGAAUCGGACGUCGUAGCUUUAUUUGAGGAAACAGAACGAGACUCUGAUGGAGGGCCACAAAAUUAGAAGAAAUCUAAGAGAAUGCUUUUUUCUGCUAUCACGAGGACUCGGGAUUUACGAAUGCAUCAAGCAGGAUAUAAAGAGGAAUAAUUUCUUUCUUUUUAUCCAUUUCUCGCUACUACAACGUCCCUCUU